rnacentral:rRNA from 1 species
GAUGAACGCUGGCGGCGUGCCUAAUACAUGCAGGUCGAGCGAACGGACGAGAAGCUUGCUUCUCUGAUGUUAGCGGCGGACGGGUGAGUAACACGUGGAUAACCUACCUAUAAGACUGGGAUAACUUCGGGAAACCGGAGCUAAUACCGGAUAAUAUUUUGAACCGCAUGGUUCAAAAGUGAAAGACGGUCUUGCUGUCACUUAUAGAUGGAUCCGCGCUGCAUUAGCUAGUUGGUAAGGUAACGGCUUACCAAGGCAACGAUGCAUAGCCGACCUGAGAGGGUGAUCGGCCACACUGGAACUGAGACACGGUCCAGACUCCUACGGGAGGCAGCAGUAGGGAAUCUUCCGCAAUGGGCGAAAGCCUGACGGAGCAACGCCGCGUGAGUGAUGAAGGUCUUCGGAUCGUAAAACUCUGUUAUUAGGGAAGAACAUAUGUGUAGGUAACUGUGCACAUCUUGGCGGUACCUAAUCAGAAAGCCACGGCUAACUACGUG